rnacentral:rRNA from 1 species
AUGCACGCUGGCGGCGUGCCUAAUACAUGCCAGUCGAGCGAACAGACGAGGAGCUUGCUCCUCUGACGUUAGCGGCGGACGGGUGAGUAACACGUGGAUAACCUACCUAUAAGACUGGGAUAACUUCGGGAAACCGGAGCUAAUACCGGAUAAUAUAUUGAACCGCAUGGUUCAAUAGUGAAAGACGGUUUUGCUGUCACUUAUAGAUGGAUCCGCGCCGCAUUAGCUAGUUGGUAAGGUAACGGCUUACCAAGGCGACGAUGCGUAGCCGACCUGAGAGGGUGAUCGGCCACACUGGAACUGAGACACGGUCCAGACUCCUACGGGAGGCAGCAGUAGGGAAUCUUCCGCAAUGGGCGAAAGCCUGACGGAGCAACGCCGCGUGAGUGAUGAAGGUCUUCGGAUCGUAAAACUCUGUUAUUAGGGAAGAACAAAUGUGUAAGUAACUAUGCACGUCUUGACGGUACCUAAUCAGAAAGCCACGGCUAACUACGAG